rnacentral:rRNA from 1 species
GGGUUGUGAGGUUAAGCGACUAAGCGUACACGGUGGAUGCCCUGGCAGUCAGAGGCGAUGAAGGACGUGCUAAUCUGCGAUAAGCGUCGGUAAGGUGAUAUGAACCGUUAUAACCGGCGAUUUCCGAAUGGGGAAACCCAGUGUGAUUCGUCACACUAUCAUUAACUGAAUCCAUAGGUUAAUGAGGCGAACCGGGGGAACUGAAACAUCUAAGUACCCCGAGGAAAAGAAAUCAACCGAGAUUCCCCCAGUAGCGGCGAGCGAACGGGGAGGAGCCCAGAGCCUGAAUCAGUGUGUGUGUUAGUGGAAGCGUCUGGAAAGGCGCGCGAUACAGGGUGACAGCCCCGUACACAAAAAUGCACAUGUUGUGAGCUCGAUGAGUAGGGCGGGACACGUGGUAUCCUGUCUGAAUAUGGGGGGACCAUCCUCCAAGGCUAAAUACUCCUGACUGACCGAUAGUGAACCAGUACCGUGAGGGAAAGGCGAAAAGAAC